UCUUUAUAUUAACUGUCCACAUCAACAAGCGUCAUAUUUCCUAUGACCAUUGAAUGCACCUCUCAGUUCACCCCACGUGAGGGCACCUAGCUCAGCAACCAAUCAGAGCCUACCCAGGCCGCAUUGACCCUGUCAGCCAGGAAGUGAAGUGGAGGUGCAUGGUGCUCCCGGGUUUUUUCUCAUCUCAGCAAGAGGAGUGGAGGCAUCUACUACUCAAACCGAGAAAUCCACGGACAAAAGAGAGGAAAACUCAGGAUUGAGAGGAAGGAAAGCCAGCGUACUUACCUGCUGGAAGUCCGGAGUCGAGUGGCUGGAUGAAGGAGAGAGGCAACGUCGGCUAACCACUCACCUUUCAUCCGGAGAGCUGCUGCAAUUCCAACGCCAGUGUGUGUUGGGCUUUUGUGAAACAGAGCAACGGUGAGCAACAUGUUCUUAGCUGCUCUAAAGCUAAAUUUUGUCAGUUCACUGUGAGUUUAAAGUAAUCUAGAGGGUAAUUUUUAGUGCAUUUCUCUCUCACGAAUAGGCCUAUAGCGUGGAGAAAUUAAGCACACUGCUUUAAUGCCUCUGAACUGAACUCAUAUGUAUAUUUUGUUGCUUAUUUGCACAUAGUUCUGAAUUUGUUAUGGUGUAUUGUAUUUUGAGUGUCAAUGGUUACUUACCAUAAGUAUUGUUUAAUUAAUGUUUACAUGAAUAGAGAAAUAUUUGAGCAACUUAGAUGUUUAGUUCUCAUAUUUGAUAUGCUUGAAAAUUGAAUGUUGUACAACAGAACUGUGAGAUUUGAUAAGAUUUAAGAUGUUGAUGCAAUGAAUAUGAGGUGAUGCAAUAUUUUGAUUUUGUAUUUUAACCUUAAACAAUGCAUCUGAAACAGACUGAUUAGAAUGUACAUUUUAUGACCUGGAUUAUAGGUCAGGUUUUUUGGAGAGGACGGAAAAGUCCAAGGACCAGGACGAUAUUCUGGUUGUGAUAGAUGGCGAGCCAACCACUUUGAGGACGAUCUACCCCAAAGAAGAUACACACCACACACUCAUACAUUCCAGUUACAUUCACAAGGACCUUUGAAGUUGGCUAUCGCCAGCUUAACUCUAAAUUCUUAAAGGGCCCCAACGAGUACUUUUAUUUUGUUGAGUGUGCACACUAUUUAUUUUAUUUUAUACUUUAUCUGUACAAAUUGGACAAAUACCUGUUAUACUUUGUAACAAUACAAGAGUGGCUACUCAAAAGUUAA